GCCCUCGUAGCUCAGAUGGAUAGAGCGGCCGCCUCCUAAGCGGCAGGUCAGAGGUUCGAAUCCUCUCGGGGGCACCA
rnacentral:tRNA from 1 species